rnacentral:rRNA from 1 species
AAAUCCCCGGGCUUAACCUGGGAAUUGCAUUUCAUACUGGGGGUCUGGAGUACUUUAGGGAGGGGUAGAAUUCCACGUGUAGCGGUGAAAUGCGUAGAGAUGUGGAGGAAUACCGAAGGCGAAGGCAGCCCCUUGGGGAUGUACUGACGCUGAUGUGCGAAAGCGUGGGGAGCAAACAGGAUUAGAUACCCUGGUAGUCCACGCUGUAAACGGUGUCGAUUUGGGGAUUGGGGUUUAGCCCUGGUGCCCGAAGCUAACGUGAUAAAUCGACCGCCUGGGGAGUACGGCCGCAAGGUUAAAACUCAAAUGAAUUGACGGGGGCCCGCACAAGCGGUGGAGCAUGUGGUUUAAUUCGAUGCAACGCGAAGAACCUUACCUACUCUUGACAUCCGAAGAAGAACUCAGAGAUGGGUUUGUGCCUUAGGGAGCUUUGAGACAGGUGCUGCAUGGCUGUCGUCAGCUCGUGUUGUGAAAUGUUGGGUUAAGUCCCGCAACGAGCGCAACCCU